UACGGAGGAUCCGAGCGUUAUCCGGAUUUAUUGGGCGUAAAGAGCGUGUAGGCGGCCAUACAGGUCAGCUGUGAAAACUCGAGGCUCAACCUCGAGACGUCGGUUGAAACCGUAUGGCUAGAGUCCGGAAGAGGAGAGUGGAAUUCCCGGUGUAGCGGUGAAAUGCGCAGAUAUCGGGAAGAACACCCGUGGCGAAGGCGGCUCUCUGGGACGGUACUGACGCUGAGACGCGAAAGCGUGGGGAGCGAACAGG
rnacentral:rRNA from 1 species